AGUGAACGCUGGCGGUAGGCCUAACACAUGCAAGUCGAACGGCAGCACAGUAAGAGCUUGCUCUUACGGGUGGCGAGUGGCGGACGGGUGAGGAAUACAUCGGAAUCUACUUUUUCGUGGGGGAUAACGUAGGGAAACUUACGCUAAUACCGCAUACGACCUACGGGUGAAAGCAGGGGAUCUUCGGACCUUGCGCGAUUGAAUGAGCCGAUGCCGGAUUAGCUAGGUGGCGAGGUAAAGGCCCACCAAGGCGACGAUCCGUAGCUGGCCUGAGAGGAUGAUCGGCAACACUGGAACUGAGACACGGUCCAGACUCCUACGGGAGGCAGCAGUAGGGAAUCUUCCGCAAUGGGCGAAAGCCUGACGGAGCAACGCCGCGUGAGUGAUGAAGGUCUUCGGAUCGUAAAACGCUGUUAUUAGGGAAGAACAUAUGUGUAAGUAACUGUGCACAUCUUGACGGUACCUAAUCAGAAAGCCACGGCUAACUACGUG
rnacentral:rRNA from 1 species